rnacentral:rRNA from 1 species
UAAGGAAUAUUGGUCAAUGGACGCAAGUCUGAACCAGCCAUGCCGCGUGAAGGAUGAAGGUCCUCUGGAUUGUAAACUUCUUUUAUCUGGGACGAAAACGGGAUUUUUAUCUCAAUUGACGGUACCAGAGGAAUAAGCACCGGCUAACUCCGUGCCAGCAGCCGCGGUAAUACGGAGGGUGCGAGCGUUAUCCGGAUUUACUGGGUUUAAAGGGUGCGUAGGUGGGCUUAUAAGUCAGUGGUGAAAUCCCCGAGCUUAACUUGGAAACUGCCGUUGAUACUAUAGGUCUUGAAUUAUCUGGAGGUAAGCGGAAUAUGUCAUGUAGCGGUGAAAUGCUUAGAUAUGACAUAGAACACCAAUUGCGAAGGCAGCUUACUACAUAUAAAUUGACGCUGAGGCACGAAAGCGUGGGGAUCAAACA